AUUGAACGCUGGCGGCAUGCCUUACACAUGCAAGUCGAACGGUAACGCGGGGCAACCUGGCGACGAGUGGCGAACGGGUGAGUAAUAUAUCGGAACGUGCCCAGUAGUGGGGGAUAGCCCGGCGAAAGCCGGAUUAAUACCGCAUGAGACCUGAGGGUGAAAGCGGGGGAUCGCAAGACCUCGCGCUAUUGGAGCGGCCGAUAUCAGAUUAGCUAGUUGGUGGGGUAAAGGCCUACCAAGGCAACGAUCUGUAGUUGGUCUGAGAGGACGACCAGCCACACUGGGACUGAGACACGGCCCAGACUCCUACGGGGGGCAGCAGUGGGGAAUUUUGGACAAUGGGCGCAAGCCUGAUCCGGCAAUGCCGCGUGCAGGAAGAAGGCCUUCGGGUUGUAAACUGCUUUUGUCAGGGAAGAAAUCUUCUGGGUUAAUACCUCGGGAGGAUGACGGUACCUGAAGAAUAAGCACCGGCUAACUACGUGCCAGCCGCCGCAGUAACAC
rnacentral:rRNA from 1 species